UCAGACGAUGCGUCACGCAUAUCAAUAAGCGGAGGAAAAGAAACUAACAAGGAUUCCCCUAGUAACGGCGAGUGAAGCGGGAAGAGCUCAAAUUUGAAAUCUUAAAGGGUUUCCCUUUACGAAUUGUAGUUUAAAGAAGUGUUUUCUGUUGAGGUUUUGGUAAAAGUUCUUUGGAAUAGGACAUCAUAGAGGGUGAGAAUCCCGUAUUUGACCUUUACUUUCAACUUUGUGAUACACUUUCAAAGAGUCGGAUUGUUUGGGAAUGCAGUCCAAAAUGGGUGGUAAAUUUCAUCUAAAGCUAAAUAUUAGGCGAGAGACCGAUAGCGAACAAGUACCGUGAGGGAAAGAUGAAAAGAACUUUGAAAAGAGAGUUAAACAGUACGUGAAAUUGUCAAAAGGGAAGCGUUUGACACCAGUGUUGUUUUUCUGAAAAUCAAUUAAAGAACUGUUUAUGCUAAGUUGUUUAGACUUUAUCAGCUAACUGUUUAGUUUUGAGCUUUUCUUUAAUGCACUUUUCAGUUAACAAGUCAGCAUCAAUUUCUUUUGCUGUAAAAAAGCUUGAGGAAGGUGGCUUGAGAUUCGUCUUAAGUGUUUAUAGCCUCUUGCCUAUGCAGUCGGAGAGAUUGAGGUCUGCAGCGUAGAUCCUUCGGGGCUAAAUGCAUUUGUGCUAAGUUAUAGCAUUUUAUAGACAACUUGUUGACUAUGAUUUGUCUUGUAGCUUACUCGCUUAUGUUAUUUUACCUACGCUUAGGAUGUUGAGCGCAUGUCUCUCUCU
rnacentral:rRNA from 1 species